GCUCACUUCAGCAACACCUGGCUAAAACUGGGAGAAUAAGAAGAUGAGCAUGGCUCCUUUGCAAGGAUGACACACAAAUUUAUGAAACAUUCCAUAUUAAA
ensembl:snRNA U6 U6 spliceosomal RNA